rnacentral:rRNA from 1 species
AACGAACGCUGGCGGCGCGCCUAAUACAUGCAAGUCGAGCGAGAAGGUGUAGCAAUACACUUGUAAAGCGGCGAACGGGUGAGGAAUGCAUGGGUAACCUACCCUCGAGUGGGGAAUAACUAGCCGAAAGGUUAGCUAAUACCGCAUACGUUUCCGGAACUUCGGUUUCGGAAAGAAAGCAAUACCGUGGGUAUUGCGCUCCUGGAUGGGCUCAUGUCCUAUCAGCUUGUUGGUGAGGUAACGGCUCACCAAGGCUUCGGCGGGUAGCUGGUCUGAGAGGACGAUCAGCCACACUGGCACUGCGACACGGGCCAGACUCCUACGGGAGGCAGCAGUAAGGAAUAUUGCGCAAUGGACGAAAGUCUGACGCAGCGACGCCGCGUGGGGGAUGAAGGUCUUCGGAUUGUAAACCCCUUUCGGGAGGGAAGAUGGAGUGGGUAACCACUUGGACGGUACCUCCAGAAGCAGCCACGGCUAACUUCGUGCCAGCAGCCGCGGUAAU